AAAAUAUAUAUUUUAUGACGUGGAAAUAGUCAAACAAUUGUAAUCGACCAAAUGUUUGAUUUGACUUUAGAGAGUAACAAAAGAAGAGACGCAGUGAAUGAAAGCUUUCAAAAUUUGGAACGAUCAUAUACUGCGUCUCUUGUCUUGUGGAUGCUUCUGAUGCCCUUUUGAUGGCAACAUCGACCCAGAUAAUCGAAAUGAAAUGAAAAGAGAAA
ensembl:ncRNA T21C9.17 ncRNA